CCGUCGUUUAACUUCUUUCUUCUCGCUCACGUUUACAAGGAGACUAGCGAACUGGUUUCCAGACGAAUUUUGAGCGUCCUUGCUCAAACUGCCUGGCUUUGCUGGUAGCGCAUCGGCAUUUUUUAACUUCUUCAAGUCAGCCGAUCCUGCUGGUGAGGGCCACCUCUUUUUCUUGCCGUGAGGCAUUUAUUGCACUUUUAGUACUUAUUUGGUGUGUGAGGGACGCACGUCUGACUCGCUGCUCUGUUAUUCGCAGACUCAUUUUGAGCGUUGAUUCCAAUUAAUAUACGAAUAUUGCAACGCAUUUUUUUCUUUUUAUUGUCAUAGAAAACAUGGUUCCUGACAUAAAAUUUAACUAUAAAUAGCAAAGAAAAAAAAUGCAAAGCAAGAAGUCGUGUUAGUUUACACAGAUGCACUUUUAUCUAGGUUGUGUUAAGGUUUAUGUAUUCAAAUAUUGUUAAAGAAUUUAACCGGAAUAAAAUAUGACAUGUUUCUUUGUAUUUUAAACACCUAACUAUCAUUGGAAACAAACCAUAACAUUUUAUAUUUUCACACAUCAACACAAAAAAAGUUAAAAACUUGGUUAAAGAAUGUUAUAUUAAUGUAAUUUUUUGGCAGAAAUAUAAGUAACUGUUCAAACGCUUAUUAAAAUCUA